rnacentral:tRNA from 1 species
GGUGUUGUGGCUUAGUUGGUUAAAGUGAAUGUAUAGCAAACAGGGAUCCUGGGGUUCAAAUCCCAGCAGCACAU